AUUGAACGCUGGCGGCAUGCUUUACACAUGCAAGUCGAACGGUAACAGGCCGCAAGGUGCUGACGAGUGGCGAACGGGUGAGUAAUGCAUCGGAACGUGCCCAGUCGUGAGGGAUAACGCAGCGAAAGCUGCGCUAAUACCGCACACGAUCUAUGGAUGAAAGCGGGGGACCGUAAGGCCUCGCGCGAUUGGAGCGGCCGAUGUCAGAUUAGGUAGUUGGUGGGGUAAAGGCUCACCAAGCCAACGAUCUGUAGCUGGUCUGAGAGGACGACCAGCCACACUGGGACUGAGACACGGCCCAGGCUCCUACGGGAGGCAGCAGUGGGGAAUUUUGGACAAUGGGCGCAAGCCUGAUCCAGCAAUGCCGCGUGCAGGAAGAAGGCCUUCGGGUUGUAAACUGCUUUUGUACGGAACGAAACGGUCCUGGUUAAUACCUGGGGCUAAUGACGGUACCGUAAGAAUAAGCACCGGCUAACUACGUGCCAGCCGCCGCCGUAAAAC
rnacentral:rRNA from 1 species